UAUGUGAUCGUCUCUCGCAUAUCAAUAAGCGGAGGAAAAGCAUACCACCGAUGAUAUGAUGUUCACCGUGGAAACCGUUUCCUGUCUGGGUACCUACGCUUAGGAUGUUGACGAGACUGUCGAUCUCAUCUAUACAUGACUCUGUGCAUAUCAAUAAGCGGAGGAAAAGAAACUAACAAGGAUUCCCCUAGUAACGGCGAGUGAAGCGGGAAGAGCUCAAAUUUGAAAUCUUAAAGGAUUUCCCUUUACGAAUUGUAGUUUAAAGAAGUGUUUUCUGUUGAGGUUUUGGUAAAAGUUCUUUGGAAUAGGACAUCAUAGAGGGUGAGAAUCCCGUAUUUGACCUUUACUUUCAACUUUGUGAUACACUUUCAAAGAGUCGGAUUGUUUGGGAAUGCAGUCCAAAAUGGGUGGUAAAUUUCAUCUAAAGCUAAAUAUUGGCGAGAGACCGAUAGCGAACAAGUACCGUGAGGGAAAGAUGAAAAGAACUUUGAAAAGAGAGUUAAACAGUACGUGAAAUUGUCAAAAGGGAAGCGUUUGACACCAGUGUUGUUUUUCUGAAAAUCAAUUAAAGAACUGUUUAUGCUAAGCUGUUUAGACUUUAUCAGCUAUCAGUUUAGUUUUGAGCUUUUCUUUAAUGCACUUUUCAGUUAACAAGUCAACAUCAAUUUCUUUUGCUGUAAAAAAGCUUGAGGAAGGUGGCUUGAGAUUCGUCUUAAGUGUUUAUAGCCUCUUGCCUAUGCAGUCGGAGAGAUUGAGGUCUGCAGCGUAGAUCCUUCGGGGCUAAAUGCAUUAGUGCUAAGUUAUAGCAUUUUAUAGACAACUUGUUGACUAUGAUUUGUCUUGUAGCUUACUCGCUUAUGUUAUUUUACCUACGCUUAGGAUGUUGACGAGACUGUCGAUCUC
rnacentral:rRNA from 1 species